rnacentral:rRNA from 1 species
AUACGGAGGGUGCAAGCGUUACUCGGAAUCACUGGGCGUAAAGCGCGCGCAGGCGGCUAUUUAAGUUGGAUGUGAAAGCCUACGGCUCAACCGUAGAACUGCAUCCAAAACUAUUUAGCUAGAGUGUGGGAGAGGAAGAUGGAAUUAGUUGUGUAGGGGUAAAAUCCGUAGAGAUAACUAGGAAUACCAAGAGCGAAGGCAAUCUUCUGGAACACUACUGACGCUGAGGCGCGAAAGCGUGGGGAGCAAACAGGAUUAGAAACCCUAGUAGUCC